rnacentral:rRNA from 1 species
UACGUAGGCAGCGAGCGUUGUUCGGAAUCACUGGGCGUAAAGGGCGCGUAGGCGGCCGAUUAAGUCGGGGGGUGAAAGCCUGUGGCUCAACCACAGAAUUGCCUUCGAUACUGGUUGGCUUGAGACCGGAAGAGGACAGCGGAACUGCGAGUGUAGAGGUGAAAUUCGUAGAUAUUCGCAAGAACACCAGUGGCGAAGGCGGCUGUCUGGUCCGGUUCUGACGCUGAGGCGCGAAAGCGUGGGGAGCAAACAGG